rnacentral:rRNA from 1 species
GUGGGGAAUCUUCGUCAAUGGGCGCAAGCCUGAACGAGCGACGCCGCGUGGAGGAUGAAGCCCUUCGGGGUGUAAACUCCUUUUAGGGGGAAAGAAUAAGGGUGGGAGGUAAUGCCCAUCCGAUGACGGUACCCCCAGAAUAAGAGACGGCUAACUCUGUGCCAGCAGCCGCGGUAAGACAGAGGUCUCGAGCGUUAUCCGGAAUCAUUGGGCGUGAAGGGCGUCUAGGCGGCUUCGUGUGUCACCUGUGAAAGUCCUCGGCUUAACCGGGGGAAGUCGGGUGAGACUACGUCGCUGGAGCCUCGGAGGGGGAGGCGGAACUUCCAGAGUAGCGGUGAAAUGCGCAGAUACUGGAAGGUACCUCGAUAGCGAAGGCAGCCUCCUGGCCGGGUGCUGACGCUGAAGCGCGAAAGCGUGGGGAGCAAACCGGAUUAGAAACCCUUGUAGUCC